AUUAGUUCAACCUUUAAUGACGUGCGUAAACUGGCUUUCACUUGGGACUACUGCAACGUGGUGUAACGUUGAGUAGUGGUUGGGCCUGUCGCAACGUGGUGUAACGUUGGACAAUAUUGUGGUACUUUGUGACUGUUAUUUAUUUACUCUUUAUUUACUUAAUUACCUUUAUUCAAUUUAAUCACUGUUAUUUAUUCAAAUGCUGCUUUAUUGCAACUAACCCUAGCCCAUCCUUGUUGAUCCUUAUGCAUCAUUUAUUACUGUCUUUUCCGUGCUGCUUGUUGAGUAUGGUGGUUUGUACUCAGUCUUGCCUAAUUUCCCACUCCAGAGUUAGGAGUUGAGUCCGAUGGAGGUGACUCUCAGGAGUGAGCUGUUCCGUCGUCGAAGCGUUGCCUAUGGACUGGAGCCGUACCCGCUGGAGCUAGUCUCCCUAUCUUUCCGCUGCAUUUUAGCUAGAAUAAGUGUUAUUUUCAGUUGUUUCUAAGAACGAUUGUUAUGUAAUCAACAUUGUUUUUUGUGUACCCUGGCUGGUCCUGGACAGGGAUUUUAAUACACAAUUAAGUUUAGAAAUUCUUGUGGGAAAAUUCUGGGCGCAUAUUUCAGAUUGUGAGAUCUAAAUCAGAAUAAAGACUUAAAGCAGUAGCAAAACAAUUUACGUUACAUACAAACAAAUGUCUUGCAAAAGACAGGUUACUGCUAACGGCUAUAUUUCCUAUUUGCAGGUCAAAGGUCCGAACUAUGGAGUCGGCACCGGCUUCAGCCUCCUCCACUAACGCCAACACCUUCUUCGAGUCGCAAUCGGCUAUAAAUCUUCGACGGUGGCUAAAAAGACUACCCAAGGGCAAAGGGACUUCAUUAUGGCGAAGGCUUGAUGAGCUGCAAUCAUCGCCAUGUCCCUCACCUCGUCGGCCACGUGCCUGGGUACCUCUUUAAAGCAUCUCAAGGAUUUUAUUGGGUGGCAUGGAGCUGAAGCUAGUCGCCAUAGUCUCGAAUGGCCCGAAGAUCACCAAAAGGCGCAACAACAAACUAGUCCCAAGUAGCUUUGACUACAUUAAGUUGGGCCUCGAGGUUGCCUAUUGUGGCACAGGUGCUCUAUCGCGCCGAAUCUCCCAAAUCGCCGAACUAAAACAAUUCGAUCGCUUCAAAUCUCCAAAAUCGACUAAGUGUUACUAUGUCCCCCGUGGGCCUAGCGGACCGAUGUGUAAAACUCAGUGCUGACAUAGUUGAUACCAUGUCAAUGAGAACG
rnacentral:lncRNA from 1 species